rnacentral:rRNA from 1 species
UACAGAGGUCUCAAGCGUUGUUCGGAUUCAUUGGGCGUAAAGGGUGCGUAGGUGGCGAGGCAAGUCAGAUGUGAAAUCCCAGGGCUCAACCCUGAAACUGCAUUUGAUACUGCCCUGCUUGAGUACUGGAGAGGAGAUUGGAAUUUACGGUGUAGCAGUGAAAUGCGUAGAUAUCGUAAGGAAGACCAGUGGCGAAGGCGAAUCUCUGGACAGUUCCUGACGCUCAUGCACGAAGGCCAGGGGAGCAAACGGG